rnacentral:tRNA from 1 species
GGGGAGUUGGCAGAGCGGUCAAAUGCGGCGGACUGUAAAUCCGUUGGGGCAACCCACCUAGGUUCGAAUCCUAGACUCCCCACCA